rnacentral:pre_miRNA from 1 species
AAUAACUGUAGUUUUACACUAUUCACGUUCAAUGUUUGACCGUUCGUUUUAUUUAAAAAAAUUUUAUGAUUAGUAUUUUUAUUGCUAUUAGAUGAUAAAACAUGAAUAGUACUUUAUGUGUGACUAAAUAUUUUCAAAUUUUUCAAAUAAGACGGACGGUCAAACGUUGGGCACGGAUAUUCACGACUGCAUUUAUU